AUGAAUAUAAGACUAAGAGCUUCAGAUCCAAUUUUCCUUACUCUUUUCAUGGUGGGUGAGUAUCUCGUCGGAUGCAGAUCUGGUUUCGAAGAGGUGUUGUUAUUGGUUGCGCAGAGGAAGUGUUGUUGUUGCACUUUGUUUGUGAAGUUUCAUUUUUUUUUUAAAGAAAGAUGGAAGUUUGAAAUUUGA